UACGGGGGGGGCAAGCGUUGUUCGGAAUUACUGGGCGUAAAGGGCUUGUAGGCGGCCAACUAAGUCAAACGUGAAAUCCCUCGGCUUAACCGGGGAACUGCGCUUGAUACUGGAUGGCUUGAGAUUGGGAGAGGGAUGCGGAAUUCCAGGUGUAGCGGUGAAAUGCGUAGAUAUCUGGAGGAACACCGGUGGCGAAGGCGGCAUCCUGGACCAACACUGACACUGAGGAGCGAAAGCCAGGGGAGCAAACGGG
rnacentral:rRNA from 1 species